UACAGAGGUGGCAAGCGUUGUUCGGAAUUACUGGGCGUAAAGGGCGCGUAGGCGGUUCGUUAAGUCCUGUGUGAAAGCCCCGGGCUCAACCUGGGAAUUGCAUUCGAGACUGCAUUGCUGGAGUACGGAAGAGGAGGGCGGAAUUCCCGGUGUAGCGGUGAAAUGCGUAGAUAUCGGGAGGAACAUCAGUGGCGAAGGCGGCCCUCUGGUCCAGUACUGACACUCAAGUGCGAAAGCGUGGGGAGCAAACAGG
rnacentral:rRNA from 1 species